AAGAGUUUGAUCCUGGCUCAGGAUUAACGCUGGCGGCGCGCCUAAUACAUGCAAGUCGAACGGAAACCUUCGGGUUUUAGUGGCGAACGGGUGAGUAACACGUAAGCAACCUGCCUUUAAGACGUGGAUAACAAUUGGAAACAGUUGCUAAGACAGGAUAGGAAAUUAAGAGGCAUCUUUUAAUUUUUAAAAGACCUUUUUCGAAAGGUAUACUUAAAGAGGGGCUUGCGCCACAUUAGUUAGUUGGUAAGGUAAAGGCUUACCAAGACGAUGAUGUGUAGCUGGACUGAGAGGUCGAACAGCCACAUUGGGACUGAGACACGGCCCAAACUCCUACGGGAGGCAGCAGUAAGGAAUUUUUGGCAAUGGAGGAAACUCUGACCGAGCGACGUCGCGUGAACAAUGAAGUACUUCGGUAUGUAAAGUUCUUUUAUUGAAAAAGAAAAAAUAGUGGAAAAACUAUCUUGACAUUAUUCAAUGAAUAAGCCCCGGCUAAUUAUGUGCCAGCAGCCGCGGUAAUACAUAAGGGGCGAGCGUUAUCCGGAAUUAUUGGGCGUAAAGGGUGCGUAGGCGGUUUGAUAAGUCUAUAGUUUAAAUGCAGUGCUUAACGCUGUAGCGCUAUAGAAACUGUCUGACUAGAGUUAGAUAGAGGCAAGCGGAAUUCCAUGUGUAGCGGUAAAAUGCGUAAAUAUAUGGAGGAACACCAGAGGCGUAGGCGGCUUGCUGGGUCUUAACUGACGCUGAGGCACGAAAGCGUGGGGAGCAAACAGGAUUAGAUACCCUGGUAGUCCACGCCGUAAACGAUGAGUACUAAGUGUCGGGUUUCGGCUCGGUACUGAAGUUAACACAUUAAGUACUCCGCCUGAGUAGUACGUACGCAAGUAUGAAACUUAAAGGAAUUGACGGGACCCCGCACAAGCGGUGGAUCAUGUUGUUUAAUUCGAAGAUACACGAAAAACCUUACCAGGUCUUGACAUAAUUUUGCGACAUUAUAGAAAUAUAAUGAAGGUUAUCAGAAUUACAGGUGGUGCAUGGUUGUCGUCAGCUCGUGUCGUGAGAUGUUAGGUUAAGUCCUAAAACGAGCGCAACCCUUGUCGUUAGUUGCGACCACGUAAUGGUGAGCACUUUAGCGAGACUGCCAAUGAAAAAUUGGAGGAAGGUGAGGAUUACGUCAAAUCAUCAUGCCCCUUAUGAUCUGGGCUACAAACGUGAUACAAUGGCUGUUACAAAGAGUAGCUACAACGUGAGUUUUUAGCCAAUCUCAAAAAAACAGUCUCAGUUCGGAUUGAAGUCUGCAACUCGACUUCAUGAAGUUGGAAUCGCUAGUAAUCGCGAAUCAGCAUGUCGCGGUGAAUACGUUCUCGGGGUUUGUACACACCGCCCGUCAAACCACGAAAGUUGAUAAUACCCGAAAGCGGUCGCCUAACUUCGUCAGAAGAGGGAGCCGUCUAAGGUAGGAUCGAUGAUUGGGGUUAAGUCGUAACAAGGUAUCCCUACCGGAAGGUGGGGAUGGAUCACCUCCUUUCUAAGGAAACAUAGAAUCAUCAUCUUCAGUUUUGAAAGACUUAGUUAGGUUUUUCUAAUUUGAAAAACUUAGUUAAGUUUUUCUCAUUUCUUUUAUUUUUUGGUAUCCUGGGCCUAUAGCUCAGUUGGUUAGAGCACACGCCUGAUAAGCGUGAGGUCGGUGGUUCAAGUCCAUUUAGGCCCACCAAACGUUUUGCUAAAAAAAACGUGUUAUCAAAAAAAAGUUCUUUGAAAAGUAGAUAAACAAGAAAACAAUAGCCAUUUUUAAAGGAAGUAAGGGCGUACAGUGGAUGCCUUGGCACUAAGAGCCGAUGAAGGACG
rnacentral:rRNA from 2 species